rnacentral:misc_RNA from 1 species
GAUGAAGAACGUAGCAAAAUGCGAUAAGUAAUGUGAAUUGCAGAAUUCAGUGAAUCAUCGAAUCUUUGAACGCACAUUGCGCCCGCCAGUAUUCUGGCGGGCAUGCCUGUUCGAGCGUCAUUUCAACCCUCAAGCCCCAGCGCUUGUGUUGGGGGCCUGCGGCUGCCGCAGCCCCCCAAAAGCAGUGGCGGGCUCGCUAUCACACCGAGUGCAGUAGUUCAUCUUCUCUCCGGUCUUGUGAGGCGGGUUCCGGCCGUGAAACACCCCACUACAUUCAAGGUUGACCUCGGAUCAGGUAGGAAUACCCGCUGAACUUAAGCAUAUCAAUAAGCGGAGGA